UGCGAGUCGACGAGAACGGGUCUUAGCUUGCUAAGAUUGUCAGCUAAGUGGCGCACGGGUGAGUAAUAUAUAGUUAACCUGCCCUAGAGAGAGGGAUAACGUUUGGAAACGGACGCUAACACCUCAUAUGCCUUUAAGACAAAAGUCUGCAAGGGAAACAUUUAUGGCUCUAGGAUGGGACUGUACGGUAUCAGUUAGUUGGUGAGGUAAUGGCUCACCAAGACAAUGACACCUAACUGGUUUGAGAGGAUGAUCAGUCACACUGGAACUGAGACACGGUCCAGACUCCUACGGGAGGCAGCAGUGGGGAAUAUUGCACAAUGGACGAAAGUCUGAUGCAGCAACGCCGCGUGGAGGAUGACACAUUUCGGUGCGUAAACUCCUUUUAUAUAGGAAGAUAAUGACGGUACUAUAUGAAUAAGCACCGGCUAACUCCGUGCCAGCAGCCGCGGUAAUACGGAGGGUGCAAGCGUUACUCGGAAUCACUGGGCGUAAAGAGAAUGUAGGCGGGUAAUUAAGUCAGAAGUGAAAUCCAAUAGCUCAACUAUUGAACUGCUUUUGAAACUGAUAACCUAGAAUAUGGGAGAGGUAGAUGGAAUUUCUGGUGUAGGGGUAAAAUCCGUAGAGAUCAGAAGGAAUACCGAUUGCGAAGGCGAUCUACUGGAACAUUAUUGACGCUGAGAUUCGAAAGCGUGGGGAGCAAACAGGAU
rnacentral:rRNA from 1 species